CUAACCAUCUCAGUCUUUCCUGAGUUCUUGGAGACUGCGAGGCCCCUGCUAAUGUGCUGGCUGGUCACUAUGGGCAGAUGGUACCCAGAGGUUCAGUGUCAUCCAGGCAGCUCAUGGCUCUCGAGGAGAAAACUGUCUUCUUGUCUUCACUUUCCUGGGUGCCAGGAACGUGCUAGCCAUCCCCAGAGGCCUCUGCUGAGCCUGUCACUUGUGCUUUUUUUCUGGUAGGAAGGAGGGUGAGUGGCUGUCUUUUCCAGUGGUCACACUUGAUGGUCCCUUGACCUGCAGCAUGUCUGCAUAACACGUUCUUUGACCCGUCCUUUCCUGGAACUAGAAUGUGGUUCUCACCCUUUUGUGCUCUCCAUCUCUCUUUUUCAGUAUCGUUGAUCCCUUGGUCCAACUCAUUAAAACUAUCAUUUAUUUUAUGUGGUUUGUUUUCCGUUGUCCCCGCUCCCCUUUGUCCCUCCCUUCUCCUGAUUAUUAAAUAGAUUUGUUUGUUGAAACCUCCAGCUCACAUUCUUUAGUGGUAGGAAGUAUUAACCUCAACUGCUCUGUCUCCUGUCACCUGAGGCAAGAAAUCUAAGAUGACUUGGAGCCUCCGGCCUGACCCAGGUCUGAACGGGCCGUGCUGUUCCCUGGAGAAGGGGAACUAUUUCAGGGGAAAAGAAUUCUCUGGAGUUUAUAAUUUUGUCAUUAAGUGUGGUCAGAACGAUUAGUGAAGGGUUGGUAAUACAUACUGCACUGUUCUGAAUUGUUUUUGAGGUUCACAUGGCAAAUUGGCAUUUUAGAUUUCCUUUCUUUCUGUUUUGGGAUUGCUGUUUUUGCCUUUCAAGGCUAUCUGCUUUUAGGACGUGAUGCUGUUUGGUGGUAUGUGGAAUGGCAUCCAUCGAGCACCAAAAUAAGAAGUUAAUAGCUAGAGCUGACCUCUCUUGACUUUUCCUACAAAUAUUUGUGCUUGUGUUAGGACUGGAGUUUUAAAAUUAUCCUAGGAGUUGCUCGUAAGAUUGCAUCCUUAUUUAUUCGUGUUUUCACCCCUCUGUUCCUUUGCAUGACUGUAGCCACUGCUCUACCUCCAGCCAUCAGGAUCCGGACUGAUGCAGUAGUCUCCUGACCUCUGGCCUGCAGUCUGUCUCCCUGCAGAUCUGGCUUGUGCAUAGCGGCCAAGUUAAUCUAACAGAGGAAGCCUAGCUCCAGUCACGUGACUUCCCUGUGGAGAAUGCUUAGUGCCUCCCCACCAGUCUAGAAGGUCACCCUGACCUUUGAGUCGUCUGUAUUUUCUUUCAUUCCUCCUUAUUUUAAUACCCAUUACUCAUGGUAAAUAAUUGUUACUGUCGUCGUUAGCAGUAUUAUUACUCCUCAGUAGAUACCUCAUGCUAGCCUAAGUGGGCUGCUCCUGCGAAGAUCCACCCCUUGCCUUUGGUCCCUGUGCCUUGUUCCUGCCCUUCUCUGGAAUGUGGAUCCACCUUUUGACAAUCUGCUAAGACCCUGCCCUCUGCCCCAGGAAGCUUCCCUUCCCUGCUGUCCCAGCUGGAAGCACGUGCUCCUGUAGCUCUGACAUCUCCCUCCUGAAGCUUGUGUCCCAAAUCACUCUCUAUAUUUUGGCAUGUGUGUAUACUUGGUCUGAACUUCCACACUAAACUCUCUUUCGUUUCCCUCCUCUCCUCUGUCUGAGGACAGAGCUUUAUGUAUAGUAGAUGCUCAAAUAUUUGCGGGAUCAUCUUGGCUUAGGGAUGGGACUGGAUGAUAACUGUCCUCAGGAAGCCCCUGUAAAGCGUUUGCAGAAGCACUUGGCGGAGCCUGUGCAGACCAAGGCCACGGGGGCGUAAUCAGGGCCUCCAGGGCAGCCGGUGUUCGGCUCCCCCGCCCCUGGUUCCCCUCCCGCCUUUCCUUCCUUCUCACUCCGGGGUGGGCGCUGUUUCCUUCCUUUCUGCACUUGAGAAAUUGCCAUUUAAAAAGUUUAAACAUAUGAUUAUUUCUUUUGGCCUUCCCUCCCUGACUUCCCUGCUUUCGCUGAUGGGAGGCCUUGGUUUUGUUUGUGGUUCUACUCCGUGCCACAGACUGUGUCUUGAAUUUACCAGAGGUUUUUCACUUCAAACUGGAUAAAGUUUGAAAGGUUCAACUUUAUUAUCCCCAUUUCACAGAGGAGAAAACAGAGGCUUGAAACAACAGAGUAACUUGUCGGAGCAGAGUUGCAGUUUGAGCCCUGGUUUGUCUGCCCCCCACGCAUGUGUUCUUUUCUCCCACCAGGCUGUCCACUGAUCUGGUGAGCACUCACUAGGUGAUGUUCACUCGCCUCCUCUCCCCACCAGGGCUCUUGGUAAUAUGGGUCUUAAAGGCCUAAAAGAUUAGCAUCAAAGGAUGCUACCAUCUGUCUCCAUCUCUUCUCUUAUCCAACUAAACCCGGUCACCACCAAUAACGUGAAGGCCCCAGGAGAACACUUCAUGUAGAAAGAGAAAUAAUAAUAAAUGCAGUAAUAGUAAUAAUACUUUAAAAGUC
rnacentral:lncRNA from 1 species